GACGAACGCUGGCGGCGUGCUUAACACAUGCAAGUCGAACGGAAAGGCCCUGCUUUUGUGGGGUGCUCGAGUGGCGAACGGGUGAGUAACACGUGAGUAACCUGCCCUUGACUUUGGGAUAACUUCAGGAAACUGGGGCUAAUACCGGAUAGGAGCUCCUGCUGCAUGGUGGGGGUUGGAAAGUUUCGGCGGUUGGGGAUGGACUCGCGGCUUAUCAGCUUGUUGGUGGGGUAGUGGCUUACCAAGGCUUUGACGGGUAGCCGGCCUGAGAGGGUGACCGGCCACAUUGGGACUGAGAUACGGCCCAGACUCGUACGGGAGGCAGCAGUGGGGAAUAUUGCACAAUGGGCGGAAGCCUGAUGCAGCAACGCCGCGUGCGGGAUGACGGCCUUCGGGUUGUAAACCGCUUUAGCCUGUGACGAAGCGUGAGUGACGGUAAUGGGUAAAGAAGCACCGGCUAACUACGUG
rnacentral:rRNA from 1 species